AUGAACGCUGGCGGCGUGCCUAAUACAUGCCAGUCGCGCGAACAGACGAGGAGCUUGCUCCUCUGACGUUAGCGGCGGACGGGUGAGUAACACGUGGAUAACCUACCUAUAAGACUGGGAUAACUUCGGGAAACCGGAGCUAAUACCGGAUAAUAUAUUUAACCGCAUGGUUCAAUAGUGAAAGACGGUUUUGCUGUCACUUAUAGAUGGAUCCGCGCCGCAUUAGCUAGUUGGUAAGGUAACGGCUUACCAAGGCGACGAUGCGUAGCCGACCUGAGAGGGUGAUCGGCCACACUGGAACUGAGACACGGUCCAGACUCCUACGGGAGGCAGCAGUAGGGAAUCUUCCGCAAUGGGCGAAAGCCUGACGGAGCAACGCCGCGUGAGUGAUGAAGGUCUUCGGAUCGUAAAACUCUGUUAUUAGGGAAGAACAAAUGUGUAAGUAACUAUGCACGUCUUGACGGUACCUAAUCAGAAAGCCACGGCUAACUACGUG
rnacentral:rRNA from 1 species